UUCUGGAUAGAGGCCUCAGCUUGGAACUUCACAGGUUGAAAGUACAGCUCAAAUGCCUGAGAUGGAGGUGAGCCUCCAAAGAAAUUGCAUCUUUGAAGAGAAUUUGCAGUCUGAAGAGAAGCUUUAGCUUCCAGCUCCUUUCAGACAUCUUCUGAACCCCUGUGUGGAGGAGAAGCUAGUUGUGCAGGAUCAGUCAACAGACAAACUUGACCCAGAGGUCUUUAGAGCAUUGGCACUGGCAAGAUCAAAGAAAUGGUGAAAUUACUUGUGCUGAAACAGUUUCAGAUCCUCCUGAACAAGGAGUUUAAAAUUUGUCUCAGAACUCUGAAAAUAAUGAAGACUGUGUCUCUGGAGGAUUUAACCCAAACGAGGAAGAAAUAAGUAUGGCUUAUAGAAAAAUUGUACUAAUGGAAUAAGCUUAGAAGAAGGCAGUCUGCAAAGUAAAAGUAGGAAACAUAAGUUUUCCGUACCCAUCUUUAGGCACAGAGUCAAUCCUAGGAUUCUUCCUUCCCUCAAAAUGGAGCCCAAAGGAGAGAGGCUGGCUACCAUGCAUCUAACUGCAGGACACCAGGCUGAGAAAAUAAUCUGGAGACCAAAAAGUCUAUUGAAGUGGGAAGUGGGAAGUCCUUCAUCCAGGAUGUUUCUGAAUAAGACCGCUUUGGGAGCAAUAAUGAAAAGACCUACCAAAGAUGGUCCCUGAAACCUAAACUUGAGAGAAGAUGGGGAAUGUAAAGGAUAGGUUGGAGAGCCAAGAGAGGGAGACCAGCAGAGUAUAGGAUCAAAUGUCAGUUGCCAGCAAGAAAAUACUCAACAAAGAGAGGGGCCAGGCAAAAAGAAAAUUUGCAAGAGUAUAUCCUAUUAUACAACAAAAAUUCCUAUAGGAAAGGGACCAUAUAAGUGUGAUAUGACUGAAGGUGUUUUCAAACAGAAUACAGAACUAAUGAAACAUAAAAUGUUCAGUGUAGAGAAACAAUACAAAUGUAAGGAAUGUGGGAAAACUUUCAGUUACUAUUCUUUUCUUAAUAAUCAUCCAAAGAGUCACCCUUUAUCUUCUCAUUUUGGAGAGAAAUCUUCUGAAUGUAAUAGUUGGAAAAUCUUCAGUGAGAAUGUAACCUUUACUCAGCAUGAGAAAAUCCACAGUGGAGAGAAACCCUUCAAAUGCAAUGACUGUGUGAAAAC